AACGAACGCUGGCGGCAUGCCUAACACAUGCAAGUCGAACGAGAUCUUCGGGUCUAGUGGCGCACGGGUGCGUAACGCGUGGGAAUCUGCCCUUUGGUUCGGAAUAACAGUUGGAAACGACUGCUAAUACCGGAUGAUGACGAAAGUCCAAAGAUUUAUCGCCAGAGGAUGAGCCCGCGUAGGAUUAGCUAGUUGGUGUGGUAAAGGCGCACCAAGGCGACGAUCCUUAGCUGGUCUGAGAGGAUGAUCAGCCACACUGGGACUGAGACACGGUCCAGACUCCUACGGGAGGCAGCAGUGGGGAAUAUUGGACAAUGGGCGAAAGCCUGAUCCAGCAAUGCCGCGUGAGUGAUGAAGGCCUUAGGGUUGUAAAGCUCCUUUACCCGGGAUGAUAAUGACAGUACCGGGAGAAUAAGCUCCGGCUAACUCCGUGCCAGCAGCCGCCGUAA
rnacentral:rRNA from 1 species